AACGCUAGCUACAGGCUUAACACAUGCAAGUCGAGGGGCAGCAUGGUCUUAGCUUGCUAAGGCCGAUGGCGACCGGCGCACAGGUGAGUAACACGUAUCCAACCUGCCGUCUACUCUUGGACAGCCUUCUGAAAGGAAGAUUAAUACAAGAUGGCAUCAUGAGUCCGCAUGUUCACAUGAUUAAAGGUAUUCCGGUAGACGAUGGGGAUGCGUUCCAUUAGAUAGUAGGCGGGGUAACGGCCCACCUAGUCUUCGAUGGAUAGGGGUUCUGAGAGGAAGGUCCCCCACAUUGGAACUGAGACACGGUCCAAACUCCUACGGGAGGCAGCAGUGAGGAAUAUUGGUCAAUGGGCGAGAGCCUGAACCAGCCAAGUAGCGUGAAGGAUGACUGCCCUAUGGGUUGUAAACUUCUUUUAUAAAGGAAUAAAGUCGGGUAUGGAUACCCGUUUGCAUGUACUUUAUGAAUAAGGAUCGGCUAACUCCGUGCCAGCAGCCGCGGUAAUACGGAGGAUCCGAGCGUUAUCCGGAUUUAUUGGGUUUAAAGGGAGCGUAGAUGGAUGUUUAAGUCAGUUGUGAAAGUUUGCGGCUCAACCGUAAAAUUGCAGUUGAUACUGGAUGUCUUGAGUGCAGUUGAGGCAGGCGGAAUUCGUGGUGUAGCGGUGAAAUGCUUAGAUAUCACGAAGAACUCCGAUUG
rnacentral:rRNA from 1 species